rnacentral:rRNA from 1 species
GAAUGCUGACAUAAGUAACGAUAAAGCGGGUGAAAAGCCCGCUCGCCGGAAGACCAAGGGUUCCUGUCCAACGUUAAUCGGGGCAGGGUGAGUCGACCCCUAAGGCGAGGCCGAAAGGCGUAGUCGAUGGGAAACGGGUUAAUAUUCCCGUACUUGGUGUUACUGCGAAGGGGGGACGGAGAAGGCUAUGUUGGCCGGGCGACGGUUGUCCCGGUUUAAGCGUGUAGGUGUGUGUUCCAGGUAAAUCCGGUUCACUUUAACACUGAGGCGUGACGACGAGGCACUACGGUGCUGAAGCAACAAAUGCCCUGCUUCCAGGAAAAGCCUCUAAGCAUCAGGUAACAUCAAAUCGUACCCCAAACCGACACAGGUGGUCAGGUAGAGAAUACCAAGGCGCUUGAGAGAACUCGGGUGAAGGAACUAGGCAAAAUGGUGCCGUAACUUCGGGAGAAGGCACGCUGACACGUAGGUGAAGUGAUUUACUCAUGGAGCUGAAGUCAGUCGAAGAUACCAGCUGGCUGCAACUGUUUAUUAAAAACACAGCACUGUGCAAACACGAAAGUGGACGUAUACGGUGUGACGCCUGCCCGGUGCCGGAAGGUUAAUUGAUGGGGUCAGCGCAAGCGAAGCUCCUGAUCGAAGCCCCGGUAAACGGCGGCCGUAACUAUAACGGUCCUAAGGUAGCGAAAUUCCUUGUCGGGUAAGUUCCGACCUGCACGAAUGGCGUAAUGAUGGCCAGGCUGUCUCCACCCGAGACUCAGUGAAAUUGAACUCGCUGUGAAGAUGCAGUGUACCCGCGGCAAGACGGAAAGACCCCGUGAACCUUUACUAUAGCUUGACACUGAACAUUGAGCCUUGAUGUGUAGGAUAGGUGGGAGGCUUUGAAGUGUGGACGCCAGUCUGCAUGGAGCCGACCUUGAAAUACCACCCUUUAAUGUUUGAUGUUCUAACGUGGACCCGUGAUCCGGGUUGCGGACAGUGUCUGGUGGGUAGUUUGACUGGGGCGGUCUCCUCCUAAAGAGUAACGGAGGAGCACGAAGGUUGGCUAAUCCUGGUCGGACAUCAGGAGGUUAGUGCAAUGGCAUAAGCCAGCUUGACUGCGAGCGUGACGGCGCGAGCAGGUGCGAAAGCAGGUCAUAGUGAUCCGGUGGUUCUGAAUGGAAGGGCCAUCGCUCAACGGAUAAAAGGUACUCCGGGGAUAACAGGCUGAUACCGCCCAAGAGUUCAUAUCGACGGCGGUGUUUGGCACCUCGAUGUCGGCUCAUCACAUCCUGGGGCUGAAGUAGGUCCCAAGGGUAUGGCUGUUCGCCAUUUAAAGUGGUACGCGAGCUGGGUUUAGAACGUCGUGAGACAGUUCGGUCCCUAUCUGCCGUGGGCGCUGGAGAACUGAGGGGGGCUGCUCCUAGUACGAGAGGACCGGAGUGGACGCAUCACUGGUGUUCGGGUUGUCAUGCCAAUGGCACUGCCCGGUAGCUAAAUGCGGAAGAGAUAAGUGCUGAAAGCAUCUAAGCACGAAACUUGCCCCGAGAUGAGUUCUCCCUGAGACUUAAAGUCUCCUGAAGGAACGUUGAAGACGACGACGUUGAUAGGCC